CUGAUCUCCUAGUAAAAAAGCUAGAAUUACAACAUAAGACCAGAAGACCCUGUGAAGCUUAAAUAAAACUAUUAAACCAUAUAAUAGCUACUUUCGGUUGGGGCGACCUUGGAAAAAAAAAGAACUUCCAAAUAAAAUGAAUAUACCUCAUUAUCUAAACAGGCCAACAAGCCAAAAACGACCCAGCACAGCUGAUAAUUGAACCAAGUUACUCCAGGGAUAACAGCGCAAUCUUCUUCAAGAGCCCAUAUCAAAAAGAAGGUUUACGACCUCGAUGUUGGAUCAGGACAUCCUAAUGGUGCAGCCGCUAUUAAGGGUUCGUUUGUUCAACGAUUAAUA
rnacentral:rRNA from 1 species